rnacentral:rRNA from 1 species
UACGUACGAGGCGAGCGUUAUCCGGAAUUACUGGGCGUAAAGCGCGCGCAGGUGGCUUGCUAAGUCGGACGUGAAAUCUCCCGGCCUAACUGGGAGGGGUCGUCCGAGACUGGCCGGCUUGAGGCUGGCAGAGGUAGGUGGAAUUCCUGGUGUAGUGGUGAAAUGCGUAGAGAUCAGGAGGAACACCGGUGGCGAAGGCGGCCUACUGGGCCAGCACUGACGCUGGAGGCGCGAAAGCUCGGGGAGCGAACGGG